rnacentral:rRNA from 1 species
CCUACGGGAGGCAGCAGUGAGGAAUAUUGGUCAAUGGGCGCGAGCCUGAACCAGCCAAGUCGCGUGAGGGAGGACGGCCCUACGGGUUGUAAACCUCUUUUGCCGGGGGGCCACGGGCGCCACGUGUGGCGUCACUGAGAGUACCCGGAGAAAAAGCAUCGGCUAACUCCGUGCCAGCAGCCGCGGUAAUACUGCGGAUGCGAGCGUUAUCCGGAUUUAUUGGGGUUAAAGUGUGCGUAGGCGGAUCUGUAAGUCAGUGGUCAAAUUGAGGGGCUCAACCCCUUCCCGCCAUUGAAACUGGCGUUCUUGAGUGGAAGAGAAGUAUGCGGAAUGCGUGGUGUAGCGGUGAAAUGCAUAGAUAUCACGCAGAACCCCGAUUGCGAAGGCAGCAUGCCGGCUUCCGACUGACGCUGAAGCACGAAAGCGUGGGGAUCGAACAGGAUUAGAUACCCCAGUAGUC